AUACGGAGGAUGCGAGCGUUAUCCGGAUUUAUUGGGUUUAAAGGGUGCGUAGGCUGUGCGUUAAGUCAGGGGUGAAAUGCCGUCGCUCAACGACGGAGCUGCCCUUGAUACUGGCGUGCUGGUGUACGGAUGCCGUUGGAGGAAUGAGUGGUGUAGCGGUGAAAUGCUUAGAUAUCACUCGGAACACCGAUUGCGAAGGCAUCUGACGAAUCCGUCACUGACGCUGAGGCACGAAAGCGUGGGGAUAGAACAGGAUUAGAUACCCUGGUAUUCCACGCCGUAAACGAUGAUGACUAACCGUCGGCGAUAGACAGCCGGUGGCCAAGCGAAAGCGAUAAGUCAUCCACCUGGGGAGUACGUCGGCAACGAUGAAACUCAAAUGAAUUGACGGGG
rnacentral:rRNA from 1 species